UGCAGCUUUUGUAUAUUUAUUUUUUUUAGUGAUCAGGUGUAUAUUUACAAAUCUACCUCUACAAUGCAUCUUUAGUUAAAAUCCACUUUUUGUGUGAAGUAAUAUAGAUUAAAAUUACAUUAGAAUUUUGUACAUAACAAGGUUUAGUUUAACAGAUCAUUCAAUUAAGCCCACUUGCCUGUAACCAUAUUUCAGGCUAGGUGGGUCCUGCACAGCAGAUGGCGCGCCCAGCCCUCUGGAGGGUAAAAACACACCAUCGCCAUGGAGGCAGUUAUUCUGGAAACCUGAAUGGUGACUAUAGCUCCAGUUCGGUCCAAUGAGACAUGGAGAUGACAACAGACGGAAGUACACAGCAGGUGUAAAGCAGGAUACUCUCUUCCCUACUGCCUUUGCACAGUAGGGCAGUCAGACAACCUGGGUUCUGGACGCAGAUCUGGCC
rnacentral:lncRNA from 1 species